UGGGGAAUAUUGGACAAUGGGCGGAAGCCUGAUCCAGCAACGCCGCGUGAGGGAUGACGGCCUUCGGGUUGUAAACCUCUUUCAGUACCGACGAAGCGAGAGUGACGGUAGGUACAGAAGAAGCACCGGCCAACUACGUGCCAGCAGCCGCGGUAAUACGUAGGGUGCGAGCGUUGUCCGGAAUUAUUGGGCGUAAAGGGCUCGUAGGCGGUUUGUCGCGUCGGGAGUGAAAAUCCAGGGCUUAACUCUGGACUGGCUUCCGAUACGGGCAGACUAGAGGUAUGCAGGGGAGAACGGAAUUCCUGGUGUAGCGGUGAAAUGCGCAGAUAUCAGGAGGAACACCGGUGGCGAAGGCGGUUCUCUGGGCAUUACCUGACGCUGAGGAGCGAAAGUGUGGGGAGCGAAC
rnacentral:rRNA from 1 species